GUGGGGAAUAUUGGACAAUGGGCGCAAGCCUGAUCCAGCCAUGCCGCGUGAGUGAUGAAGGCCCUAGGGUUGUAAAGCUCUUUCACCGGUGAAGAUAAUGACGGUAACCGGAGAAGAAGCCCCGGCUAACUUCGUGCCAGCAGCCGCGGUAAUACGAAGGGGGCUAGCGUUGUUCGGAAUUACUGGGCGUAACGCGCACGUAGGCGGGUAUUUAAGUCCGGGGUAAAGUCCCGGAGCUCAACUCCGGAACUGCCUUUGAUACUGGGUACCUAGAGUAUGGAAGAGGUAAGUGGAAGUCCGAGUGUAGAGGUGAAAUUCGUAGAUAUGCGGAGGAACACCAGUGGCGAAGGCGGCUUACUGGUCCAUUACUGACGCUGAGGUGCGAAAGCGUGGGGAGCAAACAGGAUUAGAAACCCGUGUAGUCC
rnacentral:rRNA from 1 species